CGGUUACCUUGUUACGACUUCACCCCAGUUACCGGCUCCACCUUCGGCAGCUCCUUCCUUACGGUUGGGUCACUGACUUCGGGCAUUUCCGACUCCCAUGGUGUGACGGGCGGUGUGUACAAGACCCGGGAACGUAUUCACCGCGGCAUUCUGAUCCGCGAUUACUAGCGAUUCCAGCUUCAUGUAGUCGGGUUGCAGACUACAAUCCGAACUGGGACGUUAUUUUUGGGAUUUGCUUGGCGUCACCGCUUUGCUUCCCUUUGUUUACGCCAUUGUAGCACGUGUGUAGCCCUGAUCAUAAGGGGCAUGAUGAUUUGACGUCAUCCCCGCCUUCCUCCCGGUUAUCCCGGGCAGUCUCUCCAGAGUGCCCAUCUUAAAUGCUGGCUACUGGAAAUAGGGGUUGCGCUCGUUGCGGGACUUAACCCAACAUCUCACGACACGAGCUGACGACAACCAUGCACCACCUGUCUCCGGUGUCCCGAGGGAAACAUGGCUUUGCCCAUGCGUCACCAGGAUGUCAAGACCAGGUAAGGUUCUUCGCGUUGC
rnacentral:rRNA from 1 species